UAAACGACUCUCGGCAACGGAUAUCUCGGCUCUCGCAUCGAUGAAGAACGUAGCGAAAUGCGAUACUUGGUGUGAAUUGCAGAAUCCCGUGAACCAUCGAGUCUUUGAACGCAAGUUGCGCCCGAAGCCUUCUGGCUGAGGGCACGUCUGCCUGGGCGUCACGC
rnacentral:rRNA from 7 species